rnacentral:lncRNA from 1 species
AUCCGAUCCAUAUCUGAUCCGAUCUGUUUAUGAUUCAAUGCGAUCCGAUUGCCAUCUCUACGCGCAUCGACCAUGGUGAUUGAUUCCCGCACAGCAUUGAAAUAAAUUUUUUUUGCAUAUCACGCCCAACUCCACGCCUGAACCAAUCAACCGCGCGCAUAAAAACUACACCACCCGUGGUGCACAAAGAAUACCUCGCCGGUUCAAUUUAAAAUUGGAUAUUUUUGGUGCCCA